CUAUGCUUAGGUGGGGAGCUAGCGGUGCCCUGUACCUGCAAUCCGCUAUAGCAGGACCGAAAGGCCACCCGAGGUAUGGUCUUGUGGGAAUAGGAGGAGAAAAGGAAGCUAUGAAGGUUAGGAACUGUGCACUAAGGGUGCCUCGAACCCCGCCAGGUCCGAAAGGAAGCAACGGUAAGAGGUGGCUCUUAGGUGCCGCAGUGUACCUGACUGGAGCUUACCUAUCUCUUUCUACCCGUAGGGCCAUAUCGACGGUGGAGGCAUAG
rfam:Dictyoglomus turgidum DSM 6724, complete genome.